rnacentral:rRNA from 1 species
GUUUGAUCCUGGCUCAGGAUGAACGCUGACAGAAUGCUUAACACAUGCAAGUCUACUUGAAGCACUUUCGGGUGUGGAUGGUGGCGGACGGGUGAGUAACGCGUAAAUAACUUGCCCCCUAGUCUGGGACAACUGUUGGAAACGACAGCUAAUACUAGAUAUUAUGAGACCUUGGCAUCAAGGACUUAUGAAAGCUAUAUGCGCUAGGGGAGAGAUUUGCGUCCUAUUAGCUAGUUGGUGAGGUAAUGGCUCACCAAGGCGACGAUAGGUAGCCGGCCUGAGAGGGUGAACGGCCACAAGGGGACUGAGACACGGCCCUUACUCCUACGGGAGGCAGCAGUGGGGAAUAUUGGACAAUGGACCAAAAGUCUGAUCCAGCAAUUCUGUGUGCUUGAUGAAGGCCUUCGGGUUGUAAAGAGCUUUAAGUAGGGAAGAAGAAAGUGACGGUACCUACAGAAUAAGCGACGGCUAAAUACGUGCCAGCAGCCGCGGUAAUACGUAUGUCGCAAGCGUUAUCCGGAAUUAUUGGGCAUAAAGGGCGUCUAGGCGGUUUAGAAAGUCUGAUGUGAAAAUGCGGGGCUCAACCCCGUAUUGCGUUGGAAACUACUAGACUAGAGUAUUGGAGAGGUAAGCGGAACUACAAGUGUAGAGGUGAAAUUCGUAGAUAUUUGUAGGAAUGCCAAUUGGGAAGCCAGCUUACUGGACAAAUACUGACGCUGAAGCGCGAAAGCUAGGGGAGCAAACAGGAUUAGAUACCCUGGUAGUCCUAGCUGUAAAC